rnacentral:rRNA from 1 species
UAAUAUUUGGCAAUGGGGGAAACCCUGACCCAGCAACGCCGCGUGAAGGAAGAAGGUUUUCGGAUUGUAAACUUCUGUCCUUGGUGAAGAGAAGAAGACGGUAGCCAAGGAGGAAGCCCCGGCUAACUACGUGCCAGCACCCGCGGUAAUACGUAGGGGGCAAGCGUUGUCCGGAAUGAUUGGGCGUAAAGGGCGCGUAGGCGGCUUUAUAAGUCUGGAGUGAAAGUCCUCUUUUCAAGGGAGGAAUUGCUUUGGAAACUAUAGAGCUUGAGUGCAGGAGAGGUUAUCGGAAUUCCCGGUGUAGCGGUGAAAUGCGUAGAUAUCGGGAGGAACAUCGGUGGCGAAGGCGGGUAACUGGACUGCAACUGACGCUGAGGCGCGAAAGUGUGGGGAGCAAACAGG